GCCCGUCCGUGUAUCCCCCCACCCUACCCCGAUUGCUUUAUUUAAAUAGGCAGCCAGAUCCACACGGACACAAUAAUUUCGCUUGUUUGGUUUUGGGCAUUUUCUGCAGGACCCCUAGAGAUGGACCCUCCCCUCCCCUUCCUCCCUCUAGAACUGGCAUCCUUCAUCUCUGUCUAUACAGGCCCAAUUAUACAGAUCCUUGAGGUUCCAAUAGGAUCUGAGUCACUGGAACCAGGAACACCUGGCCGAAACAUGCCGUGUAAUUAGAUAGGAUUUUCUUUUUCUUUACCUUUUCUUCCUUUUCCUUUUGUCCUUUCUUUCUUUUUAAAAGAGGGUUGGAAUUACCCUCCUUGGCUAGGGCGGAGAAGCUGGGGUGGGCAAAUGGAAGACCUUCAUACAAGGCCCAGCUUCCAGACCCUUGCAGAGAUCUCCCUGAGCCAGACUAGCUUCCUUUGCUCGGUCUCUCGGCCUCCUCCUCCUGCAAUCGUGUUUUGUUUUUUUGUUUUUAAAUCUCCCCCUACUGUUUUCUUUUCGGUUUAAUCAAAGUUCAGCGACUCCACUUGCCUCUCCUCUGGUUUCCCUCGGAAAGCGGAGACAUGACAACCCAGCGGCCGCGAACUGAGUGGUCCCAGCACAACCACGGACUGCCGGCGGGACCUCCCUUCGCCUGCCUCCCUCCGCCGCCUGCUCCGGCCUCCCGGACCUGGGUCCCUUGCCCAUCCACCGUCCCGCAGAUGUGCAGCUACUGGCCUAGGGGAUCUGAAUCGCUGGGGCUGGGGUUGGAAUGUCCUGUCUUCCCUUAGGCCCUCAGGUUGCACCAGAAAGUUCUUAGAGGGUGGGUACACCCGGACUCAGGCAACUUAGGCCCCCCCAAACCCAUGGCUGACUAAUCUGAUAUGACAAAAGCCCGUGAUGGAUUUGGUAUAUGUUAAUUCACAAUGCCCUUUCCUCCAGAAUUUAACUAUAAGUUAAUACACACCGGAAACCACGCGCAAACACGCUUGUUAAUGGGCUUAGGUAUUAGCGAGUCCUAACGAUGCAUACAAAUGCGCUCUGCCUCUGUAGGCCCCUCAAGAUUUAUGGGCCUUGAGCUCUCUGAAGCUGUAAACAAGGAGAAAAAAAAAGAGAGAGAGAGAGAAAGAGAGAGAGACUAGGGGGAAGAGACAGAGGCCUGACUUGCCCCUCCAGGUUGUGGGAGAGAAGGGAUCUCUGCAAGUGGGUUCUUACAUAUUUUCCUUUCCUUUCAAGUGCGUUGUGUGGGUUUUGGCAUCUGUCUGGGGAUGGUGGUUGGGUCUGAAUGCUGGUGUGCGUGGGCAACGUGUUGUUUGUGUGCUGGGGUAGGAUGCCAGUCUCCUCUGAAUUGCUGUUCAGGAGCCUGAAUAGAGUAGGUAUUUGUGGGUAUAUACCUGUGAAUGUGUGCACUGUGCUAGGAGGGGUGUGUGUCUGUGUGCACAUGCACGUGUGACAAGCAGGCCUCCCUCUGGGCCAGGCUGCUGUCCCCUGAACCUGGUGAACAAAUCAACAACACUCAUAAGAACAAUAAAAAUAACAAUAAAAACAGUAGUUAGCCAUCCCUUCCUAGCAGGGUAACAAUAAAAUGCAGAAGGAGAUAUUUUGAGGAGGGGACAGUGGAAGGAGUGGUGAUUAUAGCAACUGGGGGAAGAAAAGAAAGGAAAGAAGGAAGUUAACUUCUUCCUAUGCCCUUGGGGGGCUGGGUGUGGGAACCCCUCACCCCAGAUGAGGUCCUCCAGCCAGAGGAGGAGAGGGAGAGCCAGGAGGCCGCUCUGUCCCGCUUCUCUUUCUCGGCUUUUGCUUUGUGCGAUGAGGGGAAGAACCCCACAUAGGGGGUUGGUUAGUGGCUUUGGGAACUCUUUAGAGCCCCUGUUUUAAAGAGAGGGCCAAGCGUGUAGGAUCAAGCCCAGGGGCAGAGAUGGAUGCAGCGAUGACCACAGCCGGUGUCCAGGCUGGGUGAGCGGCAGGGGUGCCCGGGAGGACCAGCCGCCAGGCAGAGAUCGAAGCAGAAAAACACUUAUGGCCGCCCGAGAGAUGGGAGAGCGAGGCCCGGGGCUCCGGUAGCCCCAGGAAAGUUGCCUUCCUGGGGUCUUUUCAAAGGAAAAAAAGAGAGAGAGAGAGAAGGGAGGGGUUGAGGCACGUUGAAUUUUCCUUCCCGGGCUUGGAGCGGAGCGGAUUUCCAUAAAGGAAGAGAAGAGCACGGUCCUGGAUCCUUCCACGUCCGCCUCAUUCAAUCCAGGCCUCUCCACUUGCCCGAGCUCCCAGCCACCAGGAGAUUGACACGGAAGGGGCUUCUGGGCUGCCCCCCACCAACUCCCGCCUGGUUUCCCCAAAUCCAGCGACCUCCAGACCUCUUUAGGGGGAAACUAUCAGUGCCCAGACACCUCUGCGCCCUGUCCUGUGUGACUGUGCUCUCACACGGAAUAUCUCACAAAGAAGAAAGGCUGGUUUAGAGCCGUGUUUACACGUAGUUCUACAGAUCCCUUCACAUCUGGAGAGUUUAUUUAUAACUCCCACUGUAACUCUCUCUGUUUAGAGGCACUGGUGGCUCUAUUGACAGACUGAUGUCUAGAAAAUAUUGCUCCAUCUCUAACCAUACCUGAAUGUGCUGUGGUUGUAUUUACAGAUUUACGCUUGAGGAAAAUAUGAUUAUUUUCAUUAUAUUUGUGCAUAUACAAUAGUUAUAGGAACAGAUUUAUAUAUGGGAAAAUAUACGGCUCUCUUAUAGCCAUCCAGCUUUAUGGACAUUUGAUAUCCUGACAGAUUUAUCUCUCUGAGCAGCUAUAUAGAUAAAUGUAUAUCGUUGGAAUUAUGUAUCAGAAGAUAUACACUUAUUGAUUGUGAUAUAGAGUAGUUAGAACAUUCACUUGGAGCCAUAUAUGGCUACGGAGAUAUUUCUAUAUUAUUAUCACUAUAUAUAGGCAUAUCUAUUUAUAACUACAUAGUUAUAAAAAUAGACAUAAGUAAUUAUAGUCCUAUAUGUACAUGCUGCUAUCUCUCUCGAGUUAUAGACACUUGUGAAUAUAACUCUAUAGAGAUUUUUGUAUGUAUAUAAGGAUGUAAUUAUCUCAUGAUGUGUGUGUACUGGGGCUUAGGCCAGUCUAUCUCUGUACAGGCAUAUUUAUAUGCAGGGGCUGGGAGAGACUUGUUCGUGGAAAUGUUUCCAGAGGGCCAACAGAGAGGUUGUAUCUGGCCAUCUAGGAAAUCAUCUAGCAGAGUUCUUUACUUACGGAGGGAUGGAGUUGCAAAAGGGUAAACAGAGCAUAGGAAGCCUCAAGGAGAGGAGGCAAAAGGAAGGAGAUUGAGGCUCCGCACAGACAUUCAGGGAGGAAGGACGACAGCCCGGCACCCACCGAGGAAAGUGGAAACCGGUUUUGUGAGGGGCUCGUGCAGGGAGGGCCUGGGUCUUAUGGAAGGGGAGGCAGUGAACUACUGUACAACCCAGAGAAUGCUCUCCACUGAGGGAGAGAGCGGGCAGGCCUUAAAGGGCCUUCUGUUUGACUUUUAGUGCCCUACAGCUCAGCUACUGCCUAGCCCCACUCUCACCCCUGGUGCAUUUCCCUUGAAGCCUAAUUUUGGGAUCUGAAAGAGUGGGCUUCAGAGGUGAAGAAAUUUGGAAGGGACAGAGCAGGAAGUGGGGUGCCCUUUUGUUGCCACAGCUCUCUGGUGGUACAGCCAGGAAAUCGAGGUAAUGUGACCAAAUACAGCUUGCUUUCACCUGGGCCUCCUGUGCUCCUGGGAAGCCGGGUGGAUUGAGGUGAAUUUUCCAGCAGUGGGCCUGUUCUGAUGGGAUUUUGGGGAGGACCUUCUCACCUCUCCUUUCUCAGAGGCCUGGGCUUCAGAGGCCUAAUUCUGCUCCACUGGGCCACUCCUCUGUGGCUCCCCAAAUUGGGGUUUCCCCUUCUCUGGAUACCUAGGGGCCCCUCCAGCUCCCUAACAACCCUGUCUGGGGCCUUUAUGGGGAGAAUUUGACUUUAAUGAGCAGGGAACAUGGACCUGAACCUCUAUCCCUCACUUCUACUUAUCUCCUUGGUUCUCCUGCCGGCCCCCUUCCAGGCGCCACCAAGCCCAGGAGCCACAGUUCUCCUGCCACCAACCGUCCCAGGGGAAAAAAGAUGCCCCCAACCCCAUUUCACUUUUUUUUAAACUAGGGAGUCACAGGCAUCUUUGCUGAAUGGUUUGUGUGAAGGAGUUUCUCUGUUCUCAGUCUCAGAGGCCAGCUGCGCUUCCAGGAUAUCCAGGAUGCUGGGAAGAGCGUGGAGACCCCCUCGGCUGGGGUUAAAAGCCAAGCUCCAGCCUCCACACACCACUGCCCACUGGAUGGGAGUUCCAAGGCAGGGACUCUCUCUGCUGCCUGGCACAGAAGGUGUCGCCCAGUACAUACUUGUUGCAAUAGACAAACCUAAAGACAAUCAAUCCAAAAGCUUUUGGCGGAGGGAGUCACCCUCCUCAGCCACCGCAGCCUAGCAGGCAUCCGGGUACCCCAGCUGAAGCCAGCUGGGGGUCACAUGGCAGCUGCCUGCAGUGGGCGCUGGUGGGGUCAUGGUUAGUACCAGGGCAAGAGAGUAGCCCCAGCCUGAGAUGGGGGGCUUGGGGGCGGAGUGAUGUACCCAGAACCAAGAAAUGGGGGUGAGGGCAAAGCAGGUUCCCCAUCCUCAGUCUCCUGGCUCCCCAGACCCCCAAGUAUAUGAAAACUAAGCUAGAAAUGAGACUUGGGCUGGGAUGGAGCUGCCUGUGGGCCUGAGGUGCCCAAAGAGGAACCACCACUUGAUCCAUUAAGAAAUACUCAAAUAAAACAAACAUAAAUCAGUGGAGGCAGCUUGCCUGGCUGAGGAAAGGCCUCUAUGCCUCAGCCCUGCUCCAGGGAUGCUACCAAACUGAUCCCAAUUAAUGUUUAAAAAGUUUUUUAACUUUAAAAAGAUCACAAAUUUUCUAAUACAGUAACACCCCCUAAUCAGGUCAUUUCAUAUAGUUAUUUCUUAAUUGUCAUCAUUCCCCGUGCUUUGGUCCCUAUAGAAUAGUUCCUUCUGGGAGUCUGGGGACAGGCGGUCGCUGGCAGUGAAUGGGUGAGAUAGAUAAGUUCAGAGUUUCCCCAUCUAGUGAGGAUCCAGGUCUGCAGGGAAGGGUCCCCCUUCCCCUCAGGCUUGGAGCAGGGAGGACACUCCCAAAUUUGGUUCCUUUUUUCCCUAAGGACACUUAGAGGCAAUCUGCCCAAUGUCUGGGUGAGGGACUGAGGUCCAGAGAGGGGACUAAGUUUAACCUGGAAUCUCAUUUCUAGUUCACUCAGGGUUUGGACACCCAGCUCCCCCAACCCACCACCACCACACACACACCUAACACCCACAGGGAUGGUGGAUGCUUUCCUUGAGGAAAUGCAGGGAGAGAGCAGAGGGGCUGGCAUUUACAUACGUUUGCUUAAGCAAAACUCGGAGCAGGUGUCUGGGCUCUGGCCAGGAGGUGGGGGCAGUUUACUGUAAACCUCAGAACAUGUGGGUUUCAAAUAACAAUUGUCUUUGGCCAAAAGGCAGGAAAUGAAGAGACACUGGCCAUACUUUGUUUCACCUAGAGAGUUUGGGUCCCUUUACAUGGGCUAGAAUGGCUCUUAGCUAUUUCUGGGUCCCACACUCCUUUGAGAUGCUCAUAAAAAUAAUUCGCUCUCUUUCCAGCGAACGCACGGACACAGUGUUGCUGAAAGUGGCAGGGAUUAAAUGGAGCCAGGAAGCCCAGGAUCUAGGGCUAUGGAGCCCUAGUUUGUAUAUUUAUUUACCCUACCUUUCUUGACCCAUCCCCAGUUGUCUGCCUUUAUUUUGGCUCUCCCUGGUCUCCUUGUUUGGGAGGCAGGAAUUUCCUCCCCAAGUGUAAGCUCUGCCAUUCUUUUUUUUUUUUUUUUUUUUUUAACACCACGACUUCUCUUUAUUUCCUCCUGGGCAGUGACCCCUCUGGGAGUCUGGAUCCCGGCUAGCCCUGCCAUUCUUGGCAAAGCCCUUUUCCUUCUUUCCUUCCCUAGCACAGACAUCGGGCAGAGGCCCUGCAGGCUUAUGCUGAGCUCUUAUCUGCUCUCCUGCAGAAACUGGGAGAGUGGCUGUUAACUGAAGCCUGGUCUCCACUGCCCAAUUACUCCACUAAUUCCUGAGGGUGGGGGGAGUCUGGGGGCAUCUUGGCAGCAGCAGAGGCCUGACUAUAAGGGGACCAAUUCCCAUCUCUGGUGGAAACUUGGAUGCAAGGAGCAACUUGCAAUUGCUAUAAUAAUAGUCAUAAUAAUAACAAUAAUAAUUUAUUUAG